AGUGAACGCUGGCGGUAGGCCUAACACAUGCAAGUCGAACGGCAGCACAGUAAGAGCUUGCUCUUACGGGUGGCGAGUGGAGGACGGGUGAGGAAUACAUCGGAAUCUACUUUUUCGUGGGGGGUAACGUAGGGAAACUUACGCUAAUACCGCAUACGACCUACGGGUGAAAGCAGGGGAUCUUCGGACCUUGCGCGAUUGAAUGAGCCGAUGUCGGAUUAGCUAGUUGGCGGGGUAAAGGCCCACCAAGGCGACGAUCCGUAGCUGGUCUGAGAGGAUGAUCAGCGACACUGGAACUGAGACACGGUCCAGACUCCUACGGGAGGCAGCAGUGGGGAAUAUUGGCCGAUGGGCGCAAGCCUGAUCCAGCCAUACCGCGUGGGUGCAGAAGGCCUUCGGGUUGGAAAGCCCUUUUGUUGGGAAAGAAAAGCAGCAGGUUAAUACCCCGCUGUUCUGACGGUACCCAAAGAAUAAGCACCGGCUAACUUCGUG
rnacentral:rRNA from 1 species